AACACUAAAGGGGUAGCUAUGGAGAUGGAGCGUUUUCCUGGCUGCUUUCUUUGACAGGUGUUGAGUGGGGCAAAAGUCUUAAAACAGAAUCCAGCAUGUACGCCAAAGGUAAAGGAGCUGUCGUCCCUUCCGAUAACCAAGCGAGAGAAAAGUUAGCUUUAUAUGUGUAUGAGUAUUUGCUUCAUGUCGGCGCACAGAAAUCCGCACAGACCUUCCUGUCAGAGAUCCGAUGGGAGAAGAACAUCACACUUGGGGAACCGCCUGGAUUUUUACACUCAUGGUGGUGGCAAGUUCACGCGGCUGACAGGAAGUUGUU